CGCGGCCUAUCAGCUUGUUGGUGGGGUAACGGCCUACCAAGGCGACGACGGGUAGCUGGUCUGAGAGGACGGCCAGCCACACUGGGACUGAGACACGGCCCAGACUCCUACGGGAGGCAGCAGUGGGGAAUCUUGCGCUAAUGCGCGAAAGCGUGACGCAGCGACGCCGCGUGGGGGAUGAAGGCCCUCGGGUCGUAAACCCCUUUCGCCAGGGAUGAAGCGAAAGUGACGGUGCCUGGAGAAGAAGUCCCGGCUAACUACGUGCCAGCAGCCGCGGUAACACGUAGGGGACGAGCGUUGUCCGGAAUCAUUGGGCGUAAAGAGCGCGUAGGCGGCUUGGAAAGUCGGUCGUGAAAUCCUGGGGCUCAACCCCGGAACUGCGUCCGAUACUUCCGAGCUGGAGGCAGGUAGGGGAGAUCGGAAUUCCUGGUGUAGCGGUGAAAUGCGCAGAUAUCAGGAGGAACACCGGUGGCGAAGGCGGAUCUCUGGGCCUUGUCUGACGGUGAGGCGCGAAAGCUAGGGGAGCGAACAGGAUUAGAUACCCUGGUAGUCCUAGCCGUAAACGUUGGGUGCUAGGUGUGGGCGGAUAUCGACCCCGUCCGUGCCGAAGCUAACGCCAUUAAGCACCCCGCCUGGGGAGUACGG
rnacentral:rRNA from 1 species